AUACUGACACACACACAGACACUGAGAGAAGUAUUAACACACACACAGACAUGCUGACACACACAUGCAUACUGAUAUACACACACUUACACAGACAGACAUAGUGACACAUACAAAGACAGACAUAGUGACACACACAAAGACAGACAUACUGACACACACACAGACAGACAUACUGACAUACACACAGACAUACUGCCACACACAGACAUACUGACACACACACACAGACAGAUAUUUGACACACACAGGCAUACUGACACACA